rnacentral:lncRNA from 1 species
CAAUCUCAUUCCAACCUACUUUCUUCAUUUCCAUCAGCGACUUAGAAAUCUAGCACAGCUCUGUGGAGCCCUCGUUUCAUGUUAAGCCGUUAGCCAUGCUUUGGCUUUCCAGUAUUUGGUUCCAGGGAGCAAAUAUGCUGUAGGAUCAUGUGAAAGAUGCAUGUUUUCACAGACUCACAUCCAACACACAUUCAAAAUCUGAGAUGUGGGAGAAAGAGGCAGUGAGCCAAUGGGUACACAUCCUUGUCUGGGCCAAGGAUGGGGGCCAGCUUUUAUUUUGAAGGAGAGUCUUUUAAAAAGACUAAAUAAAGGAAAUAGAAGAAAAUGUUGGUUUUAUGGAUAUAUAUGGUUAUUAUACCCAUUACAACUACUGUCACAUUUCCUUUUUUACAUCUUCCUAAACUUGUGCUGAGACAGUAAUUUUUUUUAUUAUUAUUAACAUGGAACUUUUUCCCGGACUCCCAUCAACCAGAGAUGCCCUGAGUGUAGAGAAGACACUGUACAAUACAGGUCCCCGAUGUUCUGUGGGAUGUGCUUGCUGCAGAGACAGAAGAGUUUUGGACCCAGGCACAUAAGUGCUUAAGAUGGCUUCAGUGACUUCUGACAAGAACCUUCACCAAGGCUGUCACUUCCCCCCAAUAAAGCAGGUAGAGGUAACACAGGACAGAGAUGCAGUCCUUGAGGCCCCACUGUCUCCUGGUAGAUGGGAUGCUUAAAGUCUCUGAGUGUCCACAGGGUGCUUAACCUCUCACACCCCUACUGAAGUGCUGUUCACCCUGCACUCCUGCUUCUGAUGGCUGGCUCUCACCUUCACUGGCAGUGUUCCUCUGCAUGGCUGACUCCAUGUCCUCAACCCGGAUCCCCUCAUCUGAGAAGUCCAGUUGCCUGUCAAGCUCUUCCUCUGCAGGCCAGGCAGGGAGCAUGAUGCUUAUGCCUUUGAAGCCUGUGGCCUUUGGAGCCAGCUUAAGUGUAAAGACUUAAAAUAGGCUGAUGACUGGGGAAAACCUGGAGAAAAGGUCAUCUGCAAAGGGCAGGCCAAGACGGCGUCUAAGCGGCACCCACUUCUCUGUCCUCCAGCCUUGCUAAAUAUGUUUCUAAGGCACGAUGUCCUAAGGAAAUAAUGUCCCUUGACCUCAUUCCAAGGAGAUUAAGAAGACAACACUAGGACUAGACAUUUGAAGCCCCAGUGCAAGCGGAAUUCAUCAUCCAAAACCCCAAACACGAUAAAGCCUCCUCUAAGGACAUUGAAAGUGCAUUCUAGCAGAUAAGAACUCUGGCCUUUUCUGUUCUGGGAACCUUAAGUAGUCACACCAGCCCAUUACGUCUUAAAUGUUGCCUGUGGCCCGGGAACAAUGAGCCUGAGACCCAGGAGCUGAAGCAGUAGGCAGCCUGCCAAGUUCAACACCCGGCCAGUCUGCAGAGCAGAGCCUGCUGGGGGCUGCUUCCGGCUCUGCCUGAGAUGCGGAGCAAAGAUUUCCAUCCUGGCUUUCCGCAUGCACGUUCCACAGAGAAGGCCUGGACCAGCGAUGACCUGCUUUGACAUUUUCCAUGACGCCCUUUAUUUUGUUUUGUUUUCUGUUUGAUAGUGUAACUUCGGGUUUCUUUUUUUGUAACAAUCACUUGGCAAGGAUUACUCUUAGAUGUCAUGGGGGAGUCACCAGAUGCAGCUGGAUUCUCCCUUGGGCAGAUGCCUCGUAAAUGGGGCUUCAUGGGAAUUUACUGGAUUAUUUGUGAAGGAACCCUUUGUUGCACAGCCGUUGGUCAAGACUGGCCCUUGCUUGUGGAAUUGAAAGAAGCUGCAGUGGAGCCUUAUGACAAUGUAUUAUCAUAAGGGAUUAAAAAUUAUAUUAAAAAAAUGGAAAUCCGGGGGACUGGAGAGAUGGCUCGGUGGUUAAGAGCUCUUCACUGCUCUAGUGGAGCCUUCUGUUAACCUCCAGCUCCUAGAGCCCUGCCACCCUGUUCUUAACUCUGUGGAUACCUGCACUCACCUACACACAUAUACAGAUACAUAUACACAGAUAUUUAAAAGUAAAUCUUAGAAAAUGAAACUACAUAUUGCUUUAUCUCCAUUUUUAAAAAUCCUUAUAAAGUGCUGUGUUUCUCUCUUGCAUUUGCCUUCAUUGGAGACUCAUAACGAGUAUUUAAAGCAACCAAACUCAACCGCUAACGACUGCCUUCUUUAGUGCACUUGGUGGCAAAUGACCUGUAUUGAGCAUCCGGUAGAUCAGUUUUUCAUCCAGUUCUUAACCCACAUCAGUGUGUUUUCAUGUUGGAGGACAUACAGGGGCAUGUCCCUACUGUGUGGCAGGCAGUCUCCAAUACAUUGUCCUCUGGAAGGAGGGGGGGUGGUAGAGGUUAAGAUCAGUUUGGACCUUUUGGACCUUGCCUAAUUUCUUUUAUGCAUGCAUAACAUGGAUUCCACUUGGUUUGUGGCAAUGCUCCAGGCCUGCCCAGGGUGCUUACUAACAAGACUUUAUUUCCACUGGGACAUGUUUGGUAUAUUUCCAGAAAGUUCUUUACUAUGAAGACUCAGUGAGUUUUCUGGGAGACAUGAUUGUUGACUUUCACCAGGAGCCAAAGCCUCCUCCUUCUGUUGCCUGAGCUUGGAAAAGAGGUAGUAUGAUUCUGCCUUAAAACAUGAGUAGGACUUGUGCCUAUGCAGUUUAAAUGAUAUUUUAUUGACUGUUUUAUUUAUCACUCCAUUUUCUAAACUACUGCAUAGAUGCAUUGGCUGGUAUCAAAACAUGUUUGCCCAAGACUAUUGAAGAGCCCACAUGUUUAUCAGUAGAGGAAUCCUCACUCUAAUACGCCUAUACAAUGGAAUAUUAUACAGAUAUAAAGAGAAGUGAAGAGUGAUUUAUUCAUAUGCCGCUAUGGAAGAUUAUUAGAAUGUGUUGUUAAUAUUUAAAGAUGUGAUUAUAAAAAUUCAAAAUGAAAUGAAAGAACUAAACCUAAUUUUGCAUUAAGUUGAUGACAAAUCCACUCAGGGAAGAAACUUUUCAAGUGACCUUAGACCAUGAGAAUUAAACUGAGUGUGGUGGUACAUGCCUUUGGUCCCAGAAUUUAGGAGAUGGAAACAGGAAGGAAGAUCAGAAGUUCAAGAUCAGCCCAGGCUAGUUGGGACCCUGGCUCAAAAAAGCAACAACAGCAUAAAUAAGUAAAACAAGAUUAAUAAAUAAAUAAACAAAUAACAAAAAUGAGAUCCUAAGUAUGGGUUAUGUUCUUAGAACAAAAGGGAAAUAACAAUAAUAAAAACUGCACAAAGUUUCAAUCCUUUCCAGUAAUUAUAUUAUUCAAAGUGUUACUUUUGUUCUUGAGACUGUUGGAUGCGUUUCAUGGGGUAAAACAUGUAAUGAGCAUCCUAUGAGCAGGGAUUCUGAGAAGGGUGGAGGUGGACCUGAGGUCCAGGAAAAACAGAGUGACUGCAGCCCACAGCGGGUGUCUAUUAGCCCUCUCACCUCUCUAUAUUGUCAUCCCCUUCCCAGAUGCUGGGACCUAAGAAAUUGUAUGUGUGAAGAUUGAGGGAGUAGAAAUCUACCCUGAAGAUCUCAUAUUAUUGGCAAAAACAGAUUUUAUUGUGAAAACAAAGCAAGUUUAUUAGAAACCUUUGCUUGCUUGUUUUUUGUUUUUUGUUUUUAAUUUCAAGUAGAAAAUUUGUCUGGGAUGUGGCUCUGUAGCUGUCUUGCUGAGAGUUUAUCUGCAAAGAGGUGUUCCUUGCUAUGCACUCUCUACAACCCACCACUUCCUCCUGCAUCCUCGGGACUGGGCUCAGUUUGGCUCUACAUUGCCCCAUGGGGGGGGUAUAUUUAGGAGGUGACUGCAGCUAAGUUUGCUUGCCUUGCAAGGGUGGGUGCUCUUCCUGAGUAAGGCGCCGUGAUUGAAUUUAUAUAUUUUUAUGGCUGCAGGCUUAUUUCCUGAUUUUCCAGAGUUAAAGAAAUGAUUCAAAAUAAUAAACUUCCUUCUCUUCUUUUGAUUGAAUCUGUGGUGGUAAUAAAAUAAAGAACAGCUGGGCAGGGUGUCAGCAACGACUAACUUCUGGCCUACUGUGGAUGACAAUAACCCCUCUACUGCAAGAAAAUGAAGCCUUCUUUGUGGCAGACACUCACCUAACCCUUGCAUUGUCCAUGAUGACCCAUAGAGUGUUAAGCCCACAGACUUGAGACCAGGAGAUGCAAUCCAGUAGCAGAAUGCCUCAGCUAUGUGGUCUCACUUGUACUCCACUCUGCAGGCUCCAUGGAUACCACUGUAUCUGAAGAAAAUGUUUAUAGAAAAAGAGGUGCCUGAUCACAAAUUUAUAUGCUCUUUCCUUCUCGCUGUUCCUGAAACAGAAAUGGCUUGCAUUUUCAUCGUUUUCACUGGUCAUCCAGAAAGGGCGUAAAGCACGUGGUGGGAUAUACAUGGUUGCAUGCAGAGACUUAAACAACUAAGGACUUGCUGGCUGUAAGGAGCCAGGGAACCUGUCCCUCAGCCACCGAG